rnacentral:rRNA from 1 species
CGCUGGCGGCGUGCUUAACACAUGCAAGUCGAACGGGCGAUUUAAGCUUGCUUAGAUGAGCCUAGUGGCAAACGGGUGAGUAACGCGUAGGCAACCUGCCUCUAAGAUGGGGACAACAGUCCGAAAGGACUGCUAAUACCGAAUGUUGUGAGUUUUCCGCAUGGAGAGCUCAUUAAAGAUGGCCUCUACUUGUAAGCUAUCACUUAGAGAUGGGCCUGCGUCUGAUUAGCUAGUUGGUGGGGUAACGGCCCACCAAGGCGACGAUCAGUAGCCGGUCUGAGAGGAUGAACGGCCACAUUGGGACUGAGACACGGCCCAGACUCCUACGGGAGGCAGCAGUGGGGAAUCUUCCGCAAUGGGCGAAAGCCUGACGGAGCAACGCCGCGUGAGUGAAGAAGGUCUUCGGAUCGUAAAGCUCUGUCGAAGGGGACGAACGUGGGUUCUAUCAACAACGGAACCCUAAUGACGGUACCUUUCAAGAAAGCCACGGCUAACUACGUGCCAGCCGCCGC